GUCUGAGGUUUUCACCGGAGGAUGGUCUGGUAUUCCUCGAUUAUCGCUCCUCCGUUAUCACUCCUCGGGCCUCCGGCAAAAAUAAUGCCACUGGGACGCUACUCAAGAUGGCACAGACAAAUCAACUUCCGGUGAAACCGAGCCCGAGGAGCGA